UUUAUGGAGAGUUUGAUCCUGGCUCAGGAUAAACGCUGGCGGCGUGCCUAAUACAUGCAAGUCGAGCGAACGGACGAGAAGCUUGCUUCUCUGAUGUUAGCGGCGGACGGGUGAGUAACACGUGGAUAACCUACCUAUAAGACUGGGAUAACUUCGGGAAACCGGAGCUAAUACCGGAUAAUAUUUUGAACCGCAUGGUUCAAAAGUGAAAGACGGUCUUGCU
rnacentral:rRNA from 1 species